ACACAUGCAAGUCGAACGGUAACAGGAAGCAGCUUGCUGCUUUGCUGACGAGUGGCGGACGGGUGAGUAAUGUCUGGGAAACUGCCUGAUGGAGGGGGAUAACUACUGGAAACGGUGGCUAAUACCGCAUAACGUCGCAAGACCAAAGAGGGGGACCUUCGGGCCUCUUGCCAUCAGAUGUGCCCAGAUGGGAUUAGCUUGUUGGUGAGGUAACGGCUCACCAAGGCGACGAUCCCUAGCUGGUCUGAGAGGAUGACCAGCCACACUGGAACUGAGACACGGUCCAGACUCCUACGGGAGGCAGCAGUGGGGAAUAUUGCACAAUGGGCGCAAGCCUGAUGCAGCCAUGCCGCGUGUAUGAAGAAGGCCUUCGGGUUGUAAAGUACUUUCAGCGGGGAGGAAGGUGUUGUGGUUAAUAACCGCAGCAAUUGACGUUACCCGCAGAAGAAGCACCGGCUAACUCCGUGCCAGCAGCCGCGGUAAUACGGAGGGUGCAAGCGUUAAUCGGAAUUACUGGGCGUAAAGCGCACGCAGGCGGUCUGUCAAGUCGGAUGUGAAAUCCCCGGGCUCAACCUGGGAACUGCAUUCGAAACUGGCAGGCUUGAGUCUUGUAGAGGGGGGUAGAAUUCC
rnacentral:rRNA from 1 species